UCUUUUUUGUUUUUAAUGUUUAUUUAUUUUUGAGAGACAGAGAGACAGAGAAUCCAAAAAUAGGCUCCACACAAUCAGCACAGAUGCCAGGCUUCUUGAAUCCUUCCAACCACACUGGAGGAAAAGAGGACCGAGGCGCCCAGUGUCCACAGUAACCCCUAGGGGGCGCGCGUGGUCCAGAUCGGAGACGCCAGAACAAUCCUGGACCGCGCCGCUGCGAGCGCACUUCAUUCUAGGGCAAAAGCCCCAGCGCAGGUGCAAAUACUGGCUGUUAGAGGACCCGGUGCUAACUUUGGGGAUUCAGUUUUCGAGCUAAGUCUUCUCUGAUAUCAAUGCCAGGAUAGCAGUUUACUCUAAAGACAUUUUCCAACACUUCAAUCUAUGAAUAAGAUACAAGUUUAUGUGAAGAUCAUAUGUAACCACCUGCAAGUAACUUAAAAGCAUGACUGUUCAAACUAAAAGGAAGAAUUUCUCUUCCCAGCAGGGUUGUUUCAAAGAACAGAGCAUGAUUCACUGUAUUUUCUUAAAGAAGAAUUUCCCUGUGUUGAUUUUUUGAGGGGCUGGGAAGUCUUCACGAAGACAAUAAGAUUUGUGAAAAAUAACCAAGAACAGAAUAUUUUCAUUUCAUCCUCCUAAGAAAACUUGAAAUUAAAAGAGAAAUGCAGCUGCUAAUUGGGAAGAUUGUGAAGUAAGCACACCCUCAGAUAGUGCAAUAUUUUUAGUCCUUGUACUCUGCGGCCCCUCUUUUUCCAGUACCUUCUUGAGGAUAAAUUUAAGAGUUCAACUUUAUCCAGGAUUUAAACAACUACGAGACAAUUCUUCAGGGAAGAGGAAAAGUAGUCUCCACUCAUAGAGGAAAUGGACUCUACAGGAUGGAGCUCAGCUUCAUCUGAUUUUAUCCUAUCAUGAGGUACAAAUAUUGAACUAAAUUCCUCUUUAAGCAACUUCUAGAAUGAACAAAGGAUUCACAUAAAAAACAUCAACAGGCACACAGAAGGAUGGGUUUAUAAAUACAGGUGUAAAGCCAUUGUAAGAAUGAACAAACUAGUAAACAUUUAAUGCCUCAUGGAGGUUUUGCCUCUAGCGUCUUGGAAUGUAGACUGUGACCUUACCCUGAGGAAGACUUGGAUGAAGAGAGAGAAUUCAAGAUCUUCACAGAUUCCUUUCUCUCGAGACAUUCAUCCAUCCAUCCGUUCAUUCCACUAUUGGUUGAGCAUCUACUCAGUACCAGAAAGAACAGGAUCCUUGCCCUCAUGAAGCUCACAGUGGUAUGGGGUGGGGUUGGGGUGGGGAGCAAACAAUAUUUGUAACAGUAAUUAUAAGUCAGUAAAUUACCUCAUAUGUUAACUGGUGAUAAAAAUGGAAAAAGGAAGCGGUGAGCCAGGUAAGCUGGCUCAUCAGUGCAGGAGGUGGAGAUCCUGAAAUCUUAACCCCACAGAUUAGUGCCCUAGUGCACAAAUUGCAAUGCUCCUACAGCAUACACUGAAGCAACUCUAAUCCCCAAUUUCUUCUUUAUCAACAAGGACAUUCCAAUAUCUUUACUGUUUGAGUUGACUUUAUCUGGACUUACAUAAUACCAUUUUAUACAUGGAUGGUAGAUGAAAAUGAAAGGUAGGAAAGAAUUUCUCUAAAACUAUCAGGGAAACAUUUUCUUAUAUAUUUAUUCAACAAAUUUUAUACAGCACUUACUAUGUGCUAGACACCAUUCUAGGUGCUAGAUAUCAGUGAUGAACAAGGUAAUUUCAGAGAGGGAUAAACUCACUGAGAGGAAGAAACAAAAUGUCAACCUCUCUCAUUUACUACCUUUUGCCUUAUUACGUUAUAUAUCUGUUUAUUAUGUUUGUUUUCUAUUAUCUGUUUCCUAUCUCUAGAAUUUUUGUCUUUUUGUUCAUUCCCUAGCAUCCAAAAACAGUGCUUGGCUCAUACUAGAUGAAAGAAUCUCAUUGUUUCUUUUUGCAUUCCUUCAAGUAAAGUUGGGCAUUUAUUUCUUCA